GCCUAGCCUUAAACAUCGAUAGCAACUUACACCUGCUAUCCGCCUGGGAACUACGAGCACCAGCUUGAAACCCAAAGGACUUGGCGGUGCUUUAGAUCCACCUAGAGGAGCCUGUUCUAGAACCGAUAACCCCCGUUCAACCUCACCUUUCCUUGUUUUUCCCGCCUAUAUACCACCGUCGUCAGCUUACCCUGUGAAGGCCUAAUAGUAAGCAAAAUUGGCAUAGCCCAAAACGUCAGGUCGAGGUGUAGCGUAUGGAAGGGGAAGAAAUGGGCUACAUUCCCUUAUCCAGGGAAUACGAACGAUAAACUGAAAUGUUCAUCCAAAGGAGGAUUUAGCAGUAAGUAGAAAAUAGAGUGUCCUACUGAAAAUGGCCCUGAAGCGCGC
rnacentral:rRNA from 1 species